UACAGAGGGGGCAAGCGUUGUUCGGAAUUACUGGGCGUAAAGGGCGCGUAGGCAGCCUUCUAAGUCGAACGUGAAAUCCCCGGGCUCAACCCGGGAACUGCGUCCGAUACUGGGAGGCUUGAAUCCGGGAGAGGGAUGCGGAAUUCCAGGUGUAGCGGUGAAAUGCGUAGAUAUCUGGAGGAACACCGGUGGCGAAGGCGGGUCUCUGGACAGUUCCUGACGCUGAGGCACGAAGGUCAGGGGAGCAAACGGG
rnacentral:rRNA from 1 species